rnacentral:lncRNA from 1 species
CCGCCCGUUCGCGCUGCCAGCAGCUUCCGCCUGCUACGGUCCUGGCAAGCACCUCGGGAUCCCAUUCCUUCACAGGGACCCUAGCCAGUUAAAGCUGAUACAUUCCUGUGGGUCAACUAUGCAACUAACUCAGAUUUUGAGCAAACAAAGCUCUCAAGUUGGUGAUCCUCAGGAGUCUCUGCAUUAGUUGGACAGCUCUUCUGGAAUUAUCUUCUAAGUCAACUGUGGGUUGGGUAGGUGGCUCUGCUGAUUUUUCGCUGGACUUCCACAUUUGGGACGAGUUGGCUGUCAUCAGCUCUAGAAAGGGUGUGGCCGUUUUACAUUGGCUGUUUUCCUCACAUUCCUCAAGCAGGUACUGUAAUAAAGAACUGGAGAAAUACAGUCAGAUGGGAAGUAGCCCUUGCUGUCAAGGAGCUUGCCAUCUAAUGGGGGAGACAGGCAAGUAAACCAAAGACUACACAGUGCAGUAUGGUAAGUGCCAUGAUUUUGAUGUGACAGGGCACAGUGGACGACCUUCCAAAUCAAAGCAAGUAACUAGGGGUUGACAAUGGUAAGUAUCAUAGUUGAAGUAUCCUUGAACAAGGUUUCAGGAAGAAGAAGAAGGGAAUUUCAUGCAGGGAAACAGCCAAAGCUCAGUGAGUCAAAAUAUCACAGCAUUCUUGGUAAGCCCAAUUGUUUUUUCUGUUUUGCUAUUUUGGUGGAGAGAAAGGAACACAUAAAGGAAUAACAUGAGAGAAGGCUAUUUGGGGAAGUGUAGUAGUUAAGGUUCUGGCUCAAACAACAACUGCAGCUCAUAAAGUUGACUUUAGUGGAAGGAUACUGGGGUAUCUCAUGGAAUCUUGGGAACUGUUGAAUAACCAGGGAAACUCUGGGAAACUCACUGGUAGGAAUCCAUAAACUGUCCUCCUGGUGGGCUGUAAACAACUCACCCUCUAUGCAUCUCACAUCAAAAUUCCAGUUUCUUGGGAAAACAAGUCUGUUUGCCCAAUUUGGGUCAUAUUUCCACGUCCAUGUUACUCAGGCAUGAUUCAUCUGCAAGUUAUGUGUAUAGAUAUUUUGCUACUGUUCCACCCUUACGCUGUGCUGGGGAGGGAGGUGUCACUGUGAGCUGUGUCGGUGCCUUAAGAGAUAUCUGUUGUGUCUUAUUACUUGGUUGCUUUUCCCCACAUGUACAAUGACAAAAAUGCCUUCAACCUAUUUGAUCCAGCCGUUCCAGUACAACUCCUAUACUUGCCAUCUUUCCAAGCCCAAAGGUACAUCCAGCUGAUGGAAGGAGCAUCUUGGUGUUAAUAUUCUUUUAGUCAUGGUCUCUGAAAGUAAAAUGUCUAUUCUUCUAAUUCUGGCACAAUCUUAUCUAGCUAUAGUUCCUCAUGGUCCUGCACUCCAUGGACUAAAUUGUAAGUAUAAUUACUACCAAUGUACUCUAUAAAUAACUUUUGGGGCCAGGGUGGCAAUAGUUGCUAGAGAGAAAAAAAAAAAAAAGGAAGGAGAAGAAAACAGUGAUAGUUCUUAUUUUAAAAGGAAAAAAAGAGGCAGGAGGCUCUCUUGAGGCCAGGAGUUUAAGACCAGCCUAGGCAGCAUUUCAAGACCCUGUCUCUACUAAAAAGUAAAAAAAAAAUUUAGUCAGGCAUGGUGGCAUGCACCUGUAGUCGUAGCUACUCAGGAGACUGAGGUGGGAGGAUUGAUUGAGCUCAGGAGUUUGAGGCUGCAGUGAGCAAUCAUCAUGCCAUUGCACUCCAGCCUGGGCAUCAGAGCAAGACCUUGUCUUUUAGGAAAAAAAGGCAGGGAAGAGGAAUAGGUAAUUUUUCAGUGUUCAGACAUUCCAGCAAUAUGUGUGGAGUACUCAUUCUCACUACAGUUUAUGAGGCCAUAGCUAGUAUGUAUGACUACCCAUCCAAGUUUCCCUGCUUACAGUUACUAUUCCAACUGAUUGGGGGGCUUUUCCUAAUAGAGUGAUUUAAGCCUUCAUUUUUAGACAUCUAAGCCCUUGGUGAUCAUCAGCAUAAAAUGUGACAAAUUAAACAAAAGCAAGACAGCACAUCAGAGAACAACUCUGAGGUGGAAUGAUUGGGAACCAAUGAAUAGUUGUUCAGUAAAUGGUUUAUAUUUUACAGAUGAUGAAACUGAAACACAAAAAAUUUAGAUUAACUCUUAGGUGACAAAGCCAGGAUUGAAGCUCAUGCGGUCUGGCUCCAGAACAACUCUUCUUCAUAGUUACGUUAUACUGCCCCUGCAUUGUUGGUAUUGAAAAAUUUCCUUUCAUCUCUGGUAAAAGUCAGCUCUCUAACUACUGCAUCUCACAGCUGAACAGAUAACUGAUACCGUGCUUCCAGAAGAUUUUUCUAACAGUGUUUGCAAGCUAUAAAAUAGUGCUUUCACUUAGAAAAGGCUAGACGUGGUGGUUCAUGCCUGUAAUCCCAGCACUUUGAGAGGCCGAGGCACCAUGCUGGGAGAUAAGGAUCCAACAUAAGACAAACAGUGCUGAUGCUUUUGGAAAGCUCAUAUUCAAGCUGGGGAGACAAACAACAUACAAGUGGCUGUAGCUACCUUCUGCAUAUGGAUAUCCAGUUUUCCCAGCACCACUUAUUAAAGAGACUGUCUUUUCUGCAGUGUAUAUUCUUGGCACCGUUGUUGAAAAUGAAUUCAUUGUAGGUGUGUGGGUUUGUUUCUGGGUUCUCUAUUCUGUUCAACUUGUCUAUGUGUCUGUUUUUAUGCCAGUACCGUGUCAUUUUAGUUACCAGAGCUCUGCAGUAUAAUUUGAAACCAGGUCAUGUGAUUCCUCCAGUUUUGUGGUAUUAGGAUAGGUUUGGCUAUUCUGAGUCUUUUGUGGUUCCAUAUAAAUUUUAGAAUUUUUUUUUUCUAUUUCUGUGAAGAAUGUCAUUGGUAUUUUGAUAGGGAUUGCGUUGAAUCUGUAGAUUGCUUUGGGUAGUAUGGACAUUUUAACAAUAUUCAUUCUUCUAAUCCAUGAACAUG